rnacentral:rRNA from 1 species
CUAAACGACUCUCGGCAACGGAUAUCUCGGCUCUUGCAUCGAUGAAGAACGUAGCGAAAUGCCAUACUUGGUGUGAAUUGCAGAAUCCCGUGAACCAUCGAGUCUUUGAACGCAAGUUGCGCCUGAAGCCAUCAGGUUGAAGGCACGUCUGCUUGGGCGUCACGCAU